rnacentral:lncRNA from 1 species
GAACCUCUGAGGCUAUUUGACCGGAAGGCCACAGGACUUACUUGGUUUGUGUUUGGGCAUCCAACACAUCGUCUUACCACUGCAGUCCAUGAAAAGUGCACUGACAAGAACAUUGGGAUCUCCAGGUAGUUGUUUCUACCCAGGAAGAGACGAGGGAAGACCACCAAAGCAGUGUGGUAGCCGGGAAAUUACAGAUAAGGAUCAUGGCCCUGUUCAGUUUCUUCAUCCACCACCCAUGAAGAGGCAUCGCCUAAGAAGCUGUGAUUCUGUUUCACCCAUGUGAACAAG